AUGUUGGCUCAGAGCUUAUAUAAAUGAAUCAAAAAAACCCAUGAGAUGGAAUCUGGAUGCAGAUCUAAUCAGAAAAGUGCUGCAUGUUUGCUAACUUGGAAGGGGUCUGCCCACCGCCAUUUCUCUGGGGUUCACUGAAUUGGAGAAGAGGAGUAAGGUGGCAUCUUAGCUAAAUUGCAGCACAUUGGAGGCCAAGUCCUUCGAAGGCUAAAGAUAUUAUCCUGCAAAGGAAGUGAACUUUAAUUUUUUAUUGUGUUACCUUGACAACUCCCUCAUAAAUUAACCAUGUCCACUUUGUGAAAAAGAAAAGUUAUUGAUUACAAAGAAUCUAUGGAGCCUACAAUUUCUUAUUAAAAGUUUGUCCUGAAAAUGGUAGCUUGUCAGCUUUAGAAGAUGUACAAAAAUGAGGACUCUUCUUCUGUUGUCCUCCAGAUAUGUUUAGAAUGCAACCUUUUUCUACCUUAGCUGAGAAGAAGCUGCAAUCAUGACAUCUGUUCCUUCAGCCAACUCAAGGCCUGGUCCACAUUGUGUGAACUCACUCUUGACUCACUCCAAGAUGAUGUACCUGCUUUUUCUGGAUGUCUCUGCUCCUACAAGACUUGGGAUCCGAGCGCUUCCUAUGUUCUGGGCUCAAGUCAAGUUUCUGACAGAAAAAUCCAUGGAAGCCAGGUUGUUGAAAUAUGAGGUGUCAGAAGGGGGAUCUCCACAGCAGAAUUCUUUUUGAUUUUUUGCUUAAAAGAAAAACUCCAUUUUGCAGCAAAUGGAGAUACUGGAAAUAGUUGAAGAGAGUGAUUAUUCUGGUACUACAACCAAUCCCAGAAAACAACACAUUUUAAUCCUGUUCUCUACCAACUAUAGUGUAAACUAGAAACAAAACCAUGAAGCUGGAGAUUAAGUUUCAGAGUUUCAAGCUAAAUCAAAAUUCUUUGGAGUUGGAAAUCCAAUCAUAAGUUCCAGAUUUGAAUUAAUAUUGUACAUUGACCUCCAGUGAGAAUAAACACACUUGUCUGUCCCUUCUUAGUAAAAAGGGUGA